UACGAAGGGUGCAAGCGUUACUCGGAAUUACUGGGCGUAAAGCGCGCGUAGGCGGCUUUGCAAGUCGGGUGUGAAAUCCCCAGGCUUAACCUGGGAACUGCAUUCGAGACUGCAUUGCUAGAGUAUGGGAGAGGGAAGUGGAAUUUCCGGUGUAGCGGUGAAAUGCGUAGAUAUCGGAAGGAACAUCAGUGGCGAAGGCGGUUCUCUGGGCAUUACCUGACGCUGAGGAGCGAAAGUGUGGGGAGCGAACAGG
rnacentral:rRNA from 1 species